rnacentral:rRNA from 1 species
AACGUAGGAGACAAACGUUAUCCGGAGUUACUGGGCGUAAAGGGCGUGUAGGUGGUUUCGUAAGUCUGGCGUGAAAUAUCUCGGCUUAACCGAGGCAGGUCGUCGGAUACUGCGGGACUAGAGGACGGUAGAGGCGUGUGGAAUUCCGGGUGUAGUGGUGAAAUGCGUAGAGAUCCGGAGGAACACCAGUGGCGAAGGCGACACGCGUGGGCCGGUACGUCGGAAGCUGGCGUAACGGCAGGCCGGCAAAAGCGUGGGGGAGCGAAACAGG